CUGGACUAGCUUAAACCAUGGCUCUAAAUCAAAAAGAUUUUUACCCCUGCUACAGUAGGAAAUGGAGACAUUCAACAUUCCUAAACAGAAAGGCCUUUUACAGAUUAUAGACCUGCACUCUGAGAUGGAAAAACUUGAAAAUACCAGAGCCUUCUUCUUUUCUGACUUAUGAUUUCACAUUUAAAUGAAAACUUUGCAUAGAGAUUCCAGGGAAUUCAUUAAGACUCUCUUAAAAGAAAACUCUAACAGAAGAGAAGAUGCUGAAGAUAAUUCCUCUCCUCCUUUUUAUAUGGUAUCCUACAGAUUGCAACCUUUUACUGCUAUUUUUCUACUGCUGAAAGCAAACACAACUUACCAAAUACCAAGAGCAAUUUAAGAAGUCUGCAGACUACUGUUGGUGUUUAGACUGGGUGAUGAACAUCUACAUUACACAAAACCCAUGCUUUGGGUACCAUUUUUCAGUAUGCCCCUGAGUUUUUACAACAAAUAAUAACUUUGUCUUAUGUUCUCUGCCCUCAAAACCAGCUUUCCUAGAUGUUGGAAGUUAGCUAGAAUGGUGAUCAAAUAUUAUCUGAGCUCAACAAGGUGCUCUCUCAUGCAGUGCCAUGUUCUACAUCCUGGCAGGCAGCUGGCAGCAGAGCUUCAUUUAUGAUAUUCUGAAGAAAAUUUUUACUUUCUUAAUACUACACUUCAUCCUUCCAUAAGCAAAGAAGGCUUUUUAAAUUUAAGGUGGUCAUUAGCUAUGUUAAAGCAUAUAGAGAGUCACAGCAGAAUUUUCCUGGUAAGAAAGCAUUUCUGACUGGACACAGAUAUAUUUUGGAACACAUCCUGUUCAGUAGUUUGAUAUAGACAAAGAACAACCUGAGGUUCACUUCUGGGGUUUUGUUUUAGUCAAGAUUUGUUAAGAGAGUAAAGCCUGAUGUGACAAAAUUA